UCCGGUAUGGUGUAUCGGCUAGCAUCCGUCGCUUUCAAGGUCUUCUGACCAUGUUCGCGCUCCGACGAGAGCCGGGUUCGACUCCCGGUACCGGAA